CGCUCCGGGGCACAGUGCCUGCUGUCCCCACCGUGCGUCCCCGCCGGGCCGAGGCGUGAGGCCCGCUCCCACUCAGCACUGCCGGCCGAAAGGGCUCCCCGAGGGCAUGGCUGCCCAGGGGCAGGGUAAGGCCGAGCCUUCGUCAGGCUGUGGGCAGAGCCGGGGAAGUUUCCGAGGUGCUGCCUAUCCUCUUUCAUGUGUCCGCUUCAUAGAGUCGCAGAGUUGGAAGGGACCUUAAAGCCCAUGCAGUUCCAACCCCUAUCAUGGGCUGGUUACCACUUACCUGCUCAGGCUGCCCAGGGUCCAAUCAGCCUGGCCUUGAGCACUUCUAGAGAUGGGGCACCCGCAGCUUGGUCUAGAGCACAAGCCUUAAUGGAGAGCAGCUGAGGGAACUGGGAUUGUUUGAUCUGGAGAAGGGGAGGCGCAGGGGACACCUUAUCACCCUCUAAAACUCCCUGACAGGAGGUUGCAGCAAGGGUCAGACGGUGCUGUGGUCCCAAGGUCGUGCAAGGAGCCUGCGGUACAGUCAGCAGCUCAACCCGUAUCUGGAGGUCCAAAUGUGGAUGUCUAAAGCUACAUCUACCUGUUUAAUCCUGCGAUUUAAAGAGCUAAAAGUCAUCAUGGGAGCACAGCU